UUCAUUUUAUCUAAAUUUAUAUGAGAGUUUAUUAUCCUAGAAAUUCAGCUAACAUUUGAUUAUCAAGAAACACAACCUAAUUACAGGUAAUGACAGAGAGCCUGAUAUUUUCGUAAACCAACAUUUAGCGUAGUAAAUUGGUUGACUGGAAGAUUUAUUCCCUUCAAUCCGGUUCAAGUGAAAAAUUCAAUCAUAUUUAAGAGGGAUUCAUUCGGUGCAACAGUAUUUUCAUCAACCGGUAAUAAAUCAUAUAUUGUCUGAAAAGUUUCAAAUCUUCUUUGUGCAAUAUCUUUGUUUUUAUGCGUUCCACUAAAAGCAUCCAAAAUCAGCGCAUUCCAAAAUAAAGGACUUUUGUCAAAUUGCGGCUGCAUAGAUUUUUGAAGGUACUCAACUGCCUUAGCAAGAUUUUCAGAGACUAGUUCAUGAAAGCUAAAUUAUGAUUAGUUGAUUGAUGUCGAUACUUAGUACAUACCGAUGCAAGUGUAACUGGAGAGACACAUUAGAUAGACAAUGCUUUAUCCCCCAACGAUCUAGAAUAUCUAGUUUCCAGAAAUCUGAAAGCUUCAUUGGUCUCAAAGGAUGCGUACUUGCAUUUCCACCCAUUAAAUAUAUAAUGUUUCUAUUCAAAUC
rnacentral:misc_RNA from 1 species